GUUUUCAAUAAUCAAUAAAGCAGUACAUAUACUAAAAUUGGAAUAAUACAGAGAAGAUUAGCAUGGUCCUUGCACAGGGUAACACACACAUUUGUGAAGCCCAUAGUUUUUUA
rfam:Tupaia chinensis contig220855, whole genome shotgun sequence.